GACGCCAUUUUAGGCCUCAGCCCAUCUGCACCCAGGCGCUCACUGAAACAGUGUGUUGCUCCACACCGCCUUGUUUUGCUUGUUGGCGCGCUCUCAGGGUUCCGACCAAUCCAAGAGCCUUGCAGAAAGCAUUAACGUGCUUUUCUCUUUGGCAGAGUUUUUCUUUGCUCUGAUCUUGGAGACAUCCCUCUGCCUAGUGGAAACAUAAGGAAUACAGAAAGAAUGCAAGGAGAUAGACCAACGUGAGAUUCUCCUUCAUGCACUCAAGAGAAAGAUGUUGCAGGAAGAGCUAGUCUUUCAGGCUGGGCUGGUGACCUGAGAAAGAAUGUCCAGCUUUUCUUCUCCACUUGGCAUAUCAAGAGCCAGGCGUGGAAGACUAAAACAGGAAAUGUUUAUAAAAACUGUUCAGCGGUUCGCCAACAAGAAGUGGUAAAGUAGCAAAAAUGGGGAUGGAGAUGCCAGGAGGAAAGAUGCCAGGGGUAAAGUGGGAAAAUGGGAACCUGAAGCCAGGAGGUCAAGCCAAGCCAACAGGUGUUCUGUUUUUCAAUGAGGAGGUGGGGCACAGGAUGGAUGGAAACUUUCCACAGUCACAGAACUAAUAAGUGGUGCUGAGGACUCAAACCCGGGGAAGCCCACUCUAGAACCCAUGCUGGUCAUCCAUAUCCCCAAGGCCCUGGUCAGAACACAGCUAAGCAGAUGGCUUGGGUCAUCAGGACGUCCAUUACAUCCAAAGGAAGACAGCCUGUGACGUUUCAAAAGCAAAAGUCCCCUACCAGCCAGUGAAGCUACCUGAUUUCUCAGUAUCUUACGCCCAGUGACACGAUCUACCCUCAAAACUUAAAAAAAAAAGGGAAACAUAAACACAUAACAGCAGCAGCAAUAAUUAAAGAUGAGAUGAGAACAAUUAAGAAAAAAGGAAAGGUCUCCUGUGACUGUUUUAUUUUUAGGGAAACAGAGAGGAAGAAGAAUGAUUUUUCUUUUGAUGACUCUAUAUCCAACUCUGAGGUUUGAUUAAAGAAAUGACCUUGAACCACAGCAAAGAAAAAUAAAAGACAAUUUCCAGUAAGUAUGCCAGUUCGAAUUAAUGAUUUACUUUUUAUUUUUAAACUGAAUUCAGCAGAGAUUUACAUGCAUUACGAUGAUUAACAUCUGAAAUUUGACCUUGAAAUAAUCUUUACAUUGUAAAUUCUUAAUGAUCAAAACAAGGUUCUCAGUGAUUAAAACAUAUUAGUAAUUAAUUAUUAAAGGAGAAUAAUUGCAAAUACAACAUUCCUAAAAUCUCAAGGCUUUUAAAGCAUUUGUACAAAUGACUGGACAUUUUUUAAAUUUGAAAAAAAAAAAAAGCCCUCCAUCUGAUUCUCAUUUUCAUUGUCAGUGCAACAACAAAAAAGGUAUGCACUUCUCUUCUCAUUUUCCACUGUCUCGCAAGCUAGAAAUUCUCACGACUACCUUUGAUCCCAUCAAAGCCAAAGAAAGAAAAGAAAAUUGUUCUGUACAGAUAUAUGACAUUAAAAAAUAAUCCC